CCCUUAGACGUUCUGGGCCGCACGCGCGCUACACUGACCAGUGCAACAAGCAUCCGUCCUUGGCCGACAGGCUCGGGCAAUCUUUGAACGCUGGUCGUGAUGGGGAUAGACUUUUGCAAUUUUUGGUCUUCAACGAGGAAUUCCUAGUAAACGCAAGUCAUCAACUUGCAUUGAUUACGUCCCUGCCCUUUGUACACACCGCCCGUCGCACCUACCGAUUGAAUGGUCCGGUGAAGCCUCCGGAUUGGCGCGCACCUCGGUGCCGCCGAGAAGUUGGCUAAACCUUACCAUUUAGAGGAAGGUGAAGUCGUNACA
rnacentral:rRNA from 1 species